rnacentral:rRNA from 1 species
GAUGAACGCUGGCGGCGUGCCUAAUACAUGCAAGUCGAGCGAACAGAUGAGGAGCUUGCUCCUCUGACGUUAGCGGCGGACGGGUGAGUAACACGUGGAUAACCUACCUAUAAGACUGGGAUAACUUCGGGAAACCGGAGCUAAUACCGGAUAAUAUAUUGAACCGCAUGGUUCAAUAGUGAAAGACGGUUUUGCUGUCACUUAUAGAUUGAUCCGCGCCGCAUUAGCUAUUUGGUAAGGUAACGGCUUACCAAGGCAACGAUGCGUAGCCGACCUGAGAGGGGGAUCGGCCACACUGGAACUGAGACACGGUCCAGACUCCUACGGGAGGCAGCAGUAGGGAAUCUUCCGCAAUGGGCGAAAGCCUGACGGAGCAACGCCGCGUGAGUGAUGAAGGUCUUCGGAUCGUAAAACUCUGUUAUUAGGGAAGAACAAAUGUGUAAGUAACUAUGCACGUCUUGACGGUACCUAAUCAGAAAGCCACGGCUAACUACGUG